rnacentral:rRNA from 1 species
GCGCACCAGUCGAGAAAACUUCACAAUGUGCGAAAGCACGAUGAGGGAAUCCCAAGUGCUUGCACGUAAGUGUAAGCUGUUUCUCUGUCUAAAACGCAGAGAGAGUAAGGGCUGGGUAAGACGGGUGCCAGCCGCCGCGGUAAUACCUGCAGCUCGAGUGGUGACCGUUAUUAUUGGGCCUAAAACGUCCGUAGCCGGUUUAAUAAAUGCCUGGGUAAAUCGGACCGCUUAACGGUUCGAAUUCCGGGUAGACUGUUAAACUUGAGACCGGGAGAAGUUAGAGGUACUCCUGGGGUAGAGGUGAAAUUCUGUAAUCCUAGGGGGACCACCAGUGGCGAAGGCGUCUAACUAGAACGGGUCUGACGGUGAGGGGACGAAGCCCUGGGGCGCAAACGGGAUUAGAUACCCCCGUAGUCCCUGUGCCAAGGCACACA